AUUGAACGCUGGCGGCAGGCUUAACACAUGCAAGUCGAACGAGUGGCGGACGGGUGAGUAAUGCUUGGGAAUCUGGCUUAUGGAGGGGGCUAACUACGGGAAACUGUAGCUAAUACCGCGUACCAUAGGAUGAGCCAAAGGGGGCUUAGGUAGUUGGUGAGGUAAAGGCUCACCAAGCCGACGCACUCUAGCUGGUCUGAGAGGAUGACCAGCCAAAUGGGGACUUAGACACGGCCCAGACUCCUACGGGAGGCAGCAGGGGGGAAUAUUGCGCAAUGGGGGCAACCUGACGCAGCCAUGCCGCGUGAAUGAAGAAGGCCUUCGGGUUGUAAAGUUCUUUCGGUAGCGAGGCGUUAACUACAGAAGAAGCACCGGCUAACUCCGUGCCAGCAGCCGCGGUAAUAC
rnacentral:rRNA from 1 species